rnacentral:misc_RNA from 1 species
GGACAAGGAGGGCUGUAAUCUUCAUCUGAGACCCGGGAGUCGAUUCUCGUCCGAGAUUUGUGGAGGGAGACUAGGCUCCGCCACAGACCGAUUCAAUCGCGGGCUGAGUUAGACUACGCUCCACCGCAGCUCACGGCGCGAUCUAGGCCGUUGAAUCCCUGAGCACGGCUUGGGCUUGGUCCAGCCCGACACUCAACUGUCU